GAGUCCGCCUGUGCGGGAAUCUGGCGUCCGUGCCCUCUGCGUACCCGCUGCCCGCACCUCCCCCAGGCGGUUCUCAGCAUCCCCUGAACAGAGCAGGCGCGCUGCUUUCCGCUCAGAUGUCCUUCCUGCAGCAUCCCCGGCUUGCCAGCUGCCAGCGCAGCAGUGAUCAGAAAUCUGCACCUGUAGGCUCACGGCCACAUUGAUAACUUGGAUUCAAAACUCUUUUUUUUCUGCUGUCCCCCUUCCUCCCUUCCCGUGGGGUGGCCAGACCGUGUGAAGCACCUCCUGCACGAGUUACCGUUACCUUCCUAGAGCGUGCUCCUCCUUUCUCUUUGGAGUUGCCUUCCCGCCCCAUCUUCUUAAGAUGUUAAAAAUCUGUCCUUUAAAGUCAGAUCAAGUGGCCUCUCCAUCUAGAAAUAAGUUGUCUUUCCUACCGAAUGUCCAUUAUACUUUUCUGGGCCAUUCUUCAUGCAUUCAUUCAUUCGGUUAGUACUGCUUUCUAUUUUUGAACUAAAAUUGUGUACAACUCUUCCCCCAAUAGACUGUAAGCAGACCUUCAUCAUUUCUGCAUCCUAGAAUGUGUCACAUCAUGCUUUCCACAAAGGGAGAACUCGGUGAAUAUGGAAUCGAUGUGGAGCUGUGGACAUUCCAAGCCAUGUUUUAGAAACACUGACCCAGCCAAGGCGAAUAGGACAGUAGGGAGGAGGAGCUCUGGUAGUCUCCAUGUUGGAUAGUAAAGGCUCACAUCAACCAAGUGAUCUAGAGGCAAAACAUAGCAACAGACGUCCCGGGCUAAUCCUAGAAGCUAAAGACUCCUACUUUCAGCAGCUGUGAGUGACCUUGGAUAAAGACCACUUUCAAGAUGGUGAAACUGGGGUUCAAGAGGUUAUGCAAUUGUUUCAAGGGCCCAGCUGGUAAGUGGCAGCAGGGUUUGGAUCAAGGCUGUGAUAUUCACAAAGCCUCGCUCUUCUCCACAGUGGAACACAUUUUCCUCUUUCCCUUCCAUACUCCACAAAUCCUGCCGCACAACACAGACUCCCCACAUCUGGGGACUCCGCUCCUGCAGCCUCCCCACCAAAAAAUGCAACCAGGACAACAUACCUAUUGCCUCACAUUCCUUGCCGUUUAAAGAAUUUCUUGAAGGUGUAUCUCACAGGCAGGACCUGCAUCUUAGGGCUGGUUCCCAACUGAAAGGAAGGCUGGGUGCCAGGCACUGUUUUAAACCCUGAAAACAUCAGGGAAUAAGGAUGAAAGCUCCUGGCCUCUUCCUCAGCCAUGCAGCAUUCAUCCUGUCCACCAUUCCCACGGCCUAAGCUGCUCUCAGGGACGCAGCCUGCAGACAGGGAGACCUGGAGAUCAUCUGCCCUGAAUGUGUGACUGAACCCCACUGAAGCCUUCAGCAAACUUCUGAGAGCCGGCAGGCAGUGUGCAAAUCCACUUGUCUUGUGGCCUCCCAGGACCAGCCUCAGAUGGAAGCUCCCAUGUAUAUUAAAUGUGCCCCCCAGCCAUGAUAUGGAGCAGCCCCCCUCUUCCGUUGGUCCCUCCCUGCCUUCAGUGCUAGGGGGCUGGGGGCGGGGCAGUUUGUGAACCAGUGGUCGUCCUGCAAGUCACCAUGUCCCCAGGCGUACUUUCCUUGCCUUGUUCUCUGUUCCACUGAUGAAGCUGACACUUGGGCCUCCAUUCCCUGGACUUCUCACUCCCAGACCUACAGUGUGCCUGUGCCCCCACUUCCCCCUUGGGUAUUCCAGGGUCUUAGGGCCAUUGUAUCUUUGGUCAGCGCACACCCUGCUCUUCUGGCCUGUGCUCCUGCCGUCAUUCCUUGCAUCUCCUCCAUUUGCAAACUCACCCCCACCCCUGCCACGGAAACUUGCUCAAGUUUCUCAGUUUCAGAACAAAACUGAUACCUUGCCCUCUGGCCUGUGUCCUCUGAACACCUCAGAUCUGCUGUCCCCACCCAGUGGACCGUUCACCCAUGUGAGACUGCACGGCCCCAUCUUCUGCCCCCAGACAGGCCGCUGAACCCCUGUCUGGCUCAGACUCAACCCCCACUGGCUGAAACUGCCCUGGCAGAGUUUGACCUGGGGCCAAAUGCCUAAGACCUUUGGUGAUUUAUUCUAUAUCCAUGCAGUGUUUGACGCUGUUGUCUCCUUGCUCCUCCUUUGUUUCUAGGUUUCUCAUGAUGCUCUUGGCCCCAGGUCACUGUCUCUCCUCUACUCCAUCUCCUUGGCCAACUCCUCUGUCUCCUGCUCGUCCCUAAAUGUUAGGGUCCAGUGGCCCCGUCUGUACCCUCCUAGUGCCACUCACGCACUCUGUUACUCUAUGGCUCCAGCUCUGUGCUGAUGACUCAGAGGUGGGUAUCUCUAGCCAGCCUUCCUAUCUAAGCUCGAGACUCAUGAAUACCCCUGCCUAUUAGAAAUUUCUAUCUGCUGGUCUGGCCGACAUCUCCAGCACAUGUCCCCAGGUGCAUUCAUCUUCCUUUCUGCGCCCAUUCAUCUGCUCUGUCUCUGUUUUAGAGAAUGCGUCCUCCCAGUUACCCACACAGAAGCUGGUGGUCAUCCUGGACUCCUCUCCCUCUCUCACCCCACCCACGUCCCGUGGACCCAGCUCCUGCCUAUCUCUUCAAACAGAGAGCCUCCUCUUCCCUUCUGCCAUGAUUCUGACCUUCAUCCCUUCCCAGGCAGCCCAGGUGACAGCCUCUAACUGGUCCCCCCAGACACUUCUCCACCCUACUAGUAAGUGUUCUUCUUUGUUAUGAAACAUACAGAAAAGAAUUGAUGAUAAUAUAACCAAUUCUUGUGAGCCAGUCAGCUCAGAGUAGAUUCUUUCUAAAACCCAAGCCUGAUUAUACCUGUCCCUUGGUGGAUCCACCUUUCAGGGGUUCCUAAUUACUUCUAGCAUACACUCUAGGAAUUGCUGCCUUGGCAAGACUUAGUUCUGUCCUACCUGUCCAGCCCCAUCUCCUGCCAGUCUCUCUAAGAGAACUAAACACCCGGCCAUAUCAAACUACUUCAAGUUCCCAAAGACUUUGUGUUGUGUUGUACACAUGCUGUUCCUUGUGUUUGCAGUGCCCUCCCUUCUUUGGUCUACUUGGUAAACCUAAGCCUAUUAUGUCACCUUCGGGUGGCCUUUCAGUGAUACACCUCCUCUCUUUCUCUGCCUCCAAGGACAACUGAUGACUUCUCCCUGUAUAUCUCUAAAAUAUAGAGCCACGUCUGCCUAAAUUAUAAAUUCCUUGAGGGCAAGGCUUUCUCUGUCACAUCUUUGGCAAUUGACUCUGGUGACCUGAUAUAAUAGUGCUCAGUAAAUGUUUACUGAUCUGACCCCUACCUUCCUCUUCUGUUUUCUAUUUGAGUAAUCUUUUCCCACUUACUUUCUCCCCUGAUCCAUAAACCCAGACUCCUCCUGCCCCACUCUUGUGCACAGCAUGUGGGUUCCUCGGACACACCUUUAUCCUGGUACUCACCUCACUUGGUAGAACCUACCCAUUUUCCCUGCUAGAGUGUGGGUGCUGGGAGCCCCGGGACCCUCUGUGUUAACUCUGCCUCCUGAAUACCUAAGCACCAGAGCCAAUGCUCAAGGCAAGGAAGGAGACGUUUGUGAACCCACAAGUAAAGGAAUGAGGCUUGCUGGCUUCUAUCUAAGUCCUCCAACUCCAAAACCGUAUGACUUGAGCUUCCGAAAAUGGUGACAUAAUCUGGACGUCUCCUCCCAGCAGAUGGUCAGAACAGUUGAAACACCAAUUCAAACAGCUGACAGAUAGAAAGGAUGUGAGAUGGUGAAGUGCCUACGGGAGGAGAUGACAUGAGUGACUGCUAGCUUAUCUGCGGGACCAUCAAGCCCAGCAAUGCGUGGAAGACCUCCUCCUUCAGGAGACAACACCUCUAUAGCUGGAUGGCAAUGGCUCAGGGCAUGGCUUUGUCUGUUCCUCCCCACCGCAUUCUCCAGAUGACAAAGCUGAGGCAUCAGAGGUCAGAUAACACUCCUGAGCCUAAUAAGUGGGGGAGCCCAGAUAGGUAUCUGCAGAGCAAGUUGAAGCAGGACCUGGGUUGUGGUGUCAGAUGUAUUUCUCACUGCAAGUUGCAGCUGCGUUGAAAAGCACGGAUACUAACCCAUGGCUUACUCUGGGAGUCGUGCACACCAUUUCAGGCCCCAGGUAUCACCAGAUCAGUUACUUGUUCAGAGCUCUGCAAGCUCACCUUCCUAACAUGGCCAAUGGUGAGAUGGAGUGCAGAAUUUGGUUUAUAGGAGACACUCAGGGUACCUUUCUUUUUCAAUAAACUUCUUAUUUCAGACCAAUUUUAGAUUUGCAGAAAAGUGCCAAAGAUACUGCCCAGAGCUCUCACAUACCCCUCACCAAGCAUCCCCCAUUGUCAGCGUCUGAUGUUACCACAGGACACCACACAAGAAGCCGGUACUAGUGCAUUGCUAGUAACUGAACCCCAGACUUUAUUUGGACCUCAACGGGUUUUCCUUUUUCUCUUCCAGGACUGAGUCCAGGAUUUCAUGUGCACUCAGUCAUCAUAUCUCCUGGGUCUCCUCUGGUCUGUGACAAUUUCUUGGUCUUUCUUUUUCGUGAACUUGGUGGAGGAGUACUGGUCAGGGAGGGCCUUUGUCCAGAGGGACAGCCACUUUACUCACGGAAUGUCGAGCCUUACGUGGGCUCAUACCUCCAGCAUCGCUUUGCUUCCCACAUACUGUGGGAAGCAGCCCAAGUGAUUCACCAGCUCCACCUGUCUCGCCUCACUGCUUCCUCCCAAGGUAAAUGGGUGUGCCUUCCCACCAGUGGAACAGAAAUAAAUUCUUGUUCAGGAUUUGGGAGACUGCUUGGCCGUGCUGCACCGUGAAUCUGUCUGAUACCCCCACUCCAGCUGAGCUGACUGCUGCCUUGGACACUGCUGAGGACAACCCCCACCCCCACCCCUGGUCUUUGGAAUUCAGUUUAUGAUAGAUAGGUUUCCUCCAGCACCAAGCACCAGCCCUGCCUCUGAACAGACUCAUUUGUGCUUACAGACCCUGGCCAAUUUUGUGUGUCUGUGGCCUGGCUUCUGCUAGUUCAUUCAUUCAACAGGUAUUUAUGGAGGGCUUUAGGCACAGUUUCAGGCACUGGAGAUACAAUGAUGAGCGAAAAUAUAGGGCUUCACAGAGUUUGCAGAUGUGCCUGGGAGACAUAUUAAACUAAUAAUUUUGCAAAUAUAUAUUGCAAACAAUAAGUGUGAUGAAGUAUGGGAGCUCUCAGUUUGUCUAGGGCAUUAAGUAAAGGUUCCACAAGGAAGUGAUGGUUUAGCUGAGAUCUGAAGAAUGAGUAGGAAUUGACUAGGGGUGAUACAGAUAGGAGAGGAGAAAAUCUUCCCAGAGGGAGAGACUCACAUGUGCAAAGGUCCUGGGGCUGAUAGGAGGAUGGUCAGUUGGCUAAGGGCAGGAAGAGAAGGAGAGAGAAAAGGCCAGAGAAGGCAGUGGAAGAGUGAUGGGGUAGGGUCUUGAGGCAUGUUUAGUAUGUUGGUCUUUAUCCUAAGGAUGGUGGGAAGGAAGCCACUGAAGGAUUUUAAGAAGAGUGGCAUGGUCAGGUUUGUAAUUGAGAGAAUUACCACAGUGUGAAGUACAGGGGGUGGGUGCUCCUCCCCACCCCAGGAGACCUUGCUGGUUAAUAGAUAAACCUAUGGUCUCAGAAGAGAGGACAGUAGGUUCAAGAUGGUGGCCCUACUUCGUAUGCUUGUUCCUUUACUUCUUCUUUCUUCUUUCUUCUUUCUUCUUUCUUCUUCUUUUUUAAAUGUCCUGAAGUGGCAGGUUUAUGUGGGCAGUGUGUUCUCAGCAGAAGAUGAUCUGGUUGGU